UUUGCAGAUACGGCGACAUGGUACCGAAAACCAUCGCCGGCAAAGUGGUCGGCGGUGUCUGCUCCCUCAGCGGGGUCCUCGUCAUCGCCCUUCCGGUGCCGGUUAUCGUGUCCAAU
rfam:Hypsibius dujardini strain Z151 scaffold0007, whole genome shotgun sequence.